UGGACUGUCCCUCCUGGAGGCAUUAUCUUCUCUGGCCACUGAAAUUUGAGUUGUCUUGUUGCUGAUACCUUCAAUUACAGCUGAUGGCAUUCCUACCCAAGCGCACAUGCCAGGUACAGUCGAUGCUCACGCUGGCAUUUCAAUUGGAAAAUGCUGACUGGCUCAUAGUAGAUGCUCAGUAAGUGUGCCCAGAGCGUUGACAGGAUCAGAGGCCCACCCAGCUAUUCCUGAGCCCACACUCACUCCCAUCGUGGCUCCCAGACCCACAGAGCUGGUAGAGGUAACCAACCCAGGACUCCAGGGCCGCCCGAGCAAAGAGACGGAAAAGGCAUCAAAACAUCAAAGCACUGCUGAGCCGAACAGUCCAGAACCGAGCAGGGGUGCGUUGCUUUAACAUCCUCUGGUCUAAGACGAAGAUCAUCACAUCCAGG